UACAGAGGUGGCAAGCGUUGUUCGGAAUUACUGGGCGUAAAGGGCGCGUAGGCGGUCUUGUAAGUCUUGUGUGAAAUCCCUCGGCUCAACUGAGGAACUGCACGGGAUACUGCGAGACUUGAGUUCGGGAGAGGGAAGCGGAAUUCCGGGUGUAGCGGUGAAAUGCGUAGAUAUCCGGAGGAACACCGGUGGCGAAGGCGGCUUCCUGGACCGAUUACUGACGCUGAGGCGCGAAAGCUAGGGGAGCAAACAGG
rnacentral:rRNA from 1 species